UAAUUUAUUAGAUGGUGACUGGAUGUUUUUCUCUCUCCAGGCCUUUGUGAGAAAAACACCCAAAUGCCACAAGUGCAUCCCCAGGGAGGUGCAGGGUGGCAGGAGCUGAGGAUGCAAAAACAUAAUUGCUUUCUAUCUACUCUGAUUUGAGCUUCAUCAAAUCCUUUGGCUCCCAAGGCGGGCCUGGUCUGCUUGGUGAGACCUCAGCAGCUUUGGAACCUGCUUUUCUAGAGACCUCUCCAGAAUCUCCUGGCCAGGUUCAACCUCCACCAUUACUGUGCAUUGUCCAAAUCUUCCUUGCACUUAGCACCCUGGCGCAUGUGUGUGUGAUCACAGGCCAGCCAGUGAGUGUGCACUUGGAAAGUUCACUCAUCCUUAAAACCGUGAGGCCCAGAACAAAAACAAUCAGAUGUUCUGAAAAGUAUCAGUGUUAAAUACUGAAGUAUCUUCUUGUUAAAAUAUUCUUCUUGAUCUGUCUCUCAUAUUCAAUCAUACCUGUCAUGGUCUCUUGAAAAGAAUCUUCUAAACCUGCAUCUUAAAAUUACCUUUGGGGAUUGUGCUGAUAAUGUGUAUUCAAGUCUUGUGGUGAACAGGAGGAAAAAUAUAUCAUCUUACAUUUGCACAGGUUAUUUAUUUGUUAUAAAGCAGCUUCAAACC
rnacentral:lncRNA from 10 species